GGGCAGCGGGCACGGCCUGUAGAAAUACUCAAGCAGAAAUACCCAACGGAGGAGCAUCCCGGUGCUGCCCGGAUUGGGGUACUGACAGGUUUUAUAUCCGCUGUUGGUCAGGUCUUUCGCAGUGGAGCGAGAGUGCAGCUUUGAAGUCGUCUGACUGCGGGGAAACUACUGGGCCAAGACCAGUGAAAAAGACUGUGAAGAGGCAAAACUCCUUGAGGGGAAUGAAACCAGAGAAGAUGAGACUGCCGGAGGCCUGAGCAAUUGAACUAGGUACUGUACCUUGGCCCUGCUGAGAGACCUCAAAAGCUGUUCAACCUGUAAGAGCUGAAGUGCUCAUAAACCUGAGGGAAAGGUUGGAAGGAGAUUUGUGUCUGAACUCUGCCCGGGUGUGGCUGUAGGAUUAAAUCCAGCAUCCGUCUUCCAGACAGAGAGGAGUGCUUCCAUUUUGCGUCUUCUAGUUCACCAGCUAUUAUUAGAGAAUGUUUUUCUCAUGUUUUAACCACUUCACCGCUGCCGUAUUCCCCUCAUCUCCAUCACCCUGCCUUUUCAUCACAGUUUGGUUCAUCUUCCGCAGUCUUCCCCCUCCCAAGGUGCCAUCAUUGAAUCUAUAAUUCAAAGAUUAGGGUAAAGACUGCAGGAACAGUACACAGAGAAGCAUGGAGUCCGUAGAGACAUCUUACAAAAGCAAACUCAAAAGAGCAAGCAUUUGUGACUAGGGUUUUCAAGGAGAUAAAGUUGCCUGUUGUUUCUCACUGCCCUGUACCUCAGUGUCCGGGGCGGGUAAAACCCCCUGCAUCCCUUCCCAUCAUACCAGUUUGUUCCAUUAUCCCUCUAGCUGCUUACGCUGCCGUGCUGGGCCCGUGCUGCCUGGAGAUGCUGGCGUUCCCGCAUCAGAGGCAUUGCUUUGAUUACCUGCGUGGAGCCUGCUGCUCCCACACACUGACUCCUUCCCUACUUCAGUCAGAGUGGAGCAGCUGAAAGGAGGAAGGAAGCUGAUGAGUCUGUGAAGAGCACAUUUACGAUGAAAUAAAUGUAGAAUCCCUUUACUAUCUCUGGACAACAUCAUAUGGGGAAGUGGCUCUGUACACCCAUUUGUGGCAUAAAGGCAUCUCACAGAGUAGCAAUGUGCACCGCUCAUCUCAAGGAAGUAUUCUCAGGAAAGCUGGAAAUGCCCUUUUUUUCAGAGCAAAAAAAACUUCCAUUUCUGGUCUGAGUAGGAUCGAGCAGGAAGUCCAGAUCUGAAUAAUAGGAAGGAAUUCUCUCAUUAAGACGCUGGGUUUUUUGAUGAUAAUCAUUUAAAGCUGCUUAGGCAGAUUUGAAAUAUUAGAAAAUAUUAGAGAAGGUCCUGGAGAGAUGGAUUAGUGGUCAAAGCUGCAUGAUAAAGAGGGUUAUACAUAACGGCAGCGAGCGCUCACACCUGGAACGAAAAAUUCAAGACUGGGCAUGUGGACUGGAAUAUAUGAUUUUCCCAAGUCUGCAUUUAGAAGAGUGAACUGCCAGAACAUCUGCGCUUGUUUUGGACAAGAGACUAAAGUGCAUCAACUCUGACGCUACUCAUAUUUCAAGAUGUCAUAAAGUUUCAAAUAGCUACUUAAGUAGAAACCACAAGGCACCGCCAAUAACCCAGCACAAAAAUACUUCCUUUCCAUGCUUGAGACAGAAUGUCAUUCCAAAACUAUACUGACCAGAGAUCCAAGAUGGGGAAAUGGAGUCAUGGCAAAACAGCAUUGAAGUCUGAUCACUCAAGCUCUCAGAAGGAUACCAGUCAAGACAAAAGUUUUUCUAUGGCUAACAGCAAGCUGUAAGAUAUUAAACCCAUGUGACAUUAACCUUAUGACCUUUACACUUUAUGGCUUCCAGAAGAGUUUAUUCAGAUCCUUUUCCAAAGGCUCCUAAUCUCUUAUAGUUUAAUGUUUUUGUCUUUGACUAAUAUACUCGGGCUCAUGGUACUGCAACAAGCUGAUUUCUCAAAUAGAAAACUUAAUGCUCCCCAAAUUUUCUAAAAUACUUGUUUUUUGAAGAGGGUACGACCUGUGGAAUAUAGGUGGAGAUAGUCCUUUACUGACAUUUGUUUGAGGUGAGCAAUGUAACUUAUUUAAAUUUUUGCCUCACAAAUAAUGUUGUCAUUUCAAAUACAUGAGAAUUAAACCUUUAUGCUCUUGUGGCUUCUGUCUUAAAGAAUGCCAGGAGGGUUUAUGAAGCACAGUGGUAUGGAGGCUUUUCUGACAUGCAUUAGGCUACGUUACUCAUUACCAGUUUGACUAAUAGGAAAGACAGCCUGUAUAUUGCCAUUCCUAUUUUUAUCUAUCAGCACAUGUUGAUACAAUAUACUCAAUUAUGUCUCUAAAGUUUUCUAACUCAUUGGUAGUUUUCUAUAAAUACUAACAUCUUCUAUCUGAACAUCCCCUAUUUAGUAACACUCCUUCAGAAGGCCACGUCCAAGAGAGCACUGUGUCCUGCUAGAUAGCACAAGAUCUAGAAGGCACAGUGGGAGGUAGUUCACACUGGAAAGAGGAAAAGGAAGAUUUUUAAAAUUAGCAUAAAGGCUUGGUCUUGUAAAUAUUUCAGUGCACACAUAGACUUACUUCUGUGGGCAGUGCUAUUUACCACAUUUUCACAAUUGGAACCUAGAAUUAUGAAUUAAACCUGCCACCUGAAAGUACUUAACUGUUGCUCUGUUGCAUGAUGUCACCUCUCAAAGCCUCACAGUACGUUCUGAGAUGAUCUCAGGCUUUCUCUCCUAGAAACAAAGGCCCUGUCCCUGGAGCCAAAAGAAUCCCCAUGUGUUGUUAGGAGUGUAGUGCCGAAGACACAGCUGAACAAGAUGAACUCCAUUUUACCAGAAGCAUUGACACAAAUGGAAAGUAGGUAGUUUGAUGCAUUUAAUCUGUUUUGCUGUUAUUGUGGUAACAACAGUACUAGCAGGAAAAACCUUGGUAGAACUGUAAGAACAGGGCAUGGCAUUCAUCUCACCUGCUUCAAUACAUCUGUAAAUUAAGCACCUAGCUUAAGCUAUUUUUCUAGGCCUCCUCUGGAAAGAUUCAGGCACCUACAAAGGUGAUUCAUCAUAGAUACUUAUCUUAGAACAGGAUGAAUAACUUCUGGUGUCUUUCUCCAUUGACAUUAGGGGGAGCCUAGUCCACCUAUAUUACACUAAGCCACUAACUUUCAGGUGACUAAAGUUAAAAGAGGUAAAUUCUGACCAGAAAACAGAGUCAGAAAAGCAGAGACUUGUGAUAAUGGUUAUAUUUACAGUUUAAAUGAUAGAUCUGAAAAUGCCAAUCGUGUCGACAUGGGAGGAAGGUGCCAACAUGCCGUUGACAGACACACCGAGUUACGCCGGUUGAACACCUACUCCCGUAUCGUCAGGAGGCCAACCUGUGGCUCGCUAACUGUGCCUUGCUCACAGCUUGUUCAAACCUGACUCCCAUGUUGGAGCCAUCCUGUCACUGUCACUAUGUUCCUAAUACUCAGCUGUGGGAGAAAACUAGCCAGGAAGGGCUGCUGAGGCCAACAGUGCCAGGUCACCUGAGCAAGCAGGAGAUCUCUGAGGAGAUUCUCAGGGAAGAUCCUAGGAUGACAUCUAAGGAUCUCUGAGGACGUAGAUCUACUGUCUCCUACCUGGAAGCUGGUCCCAGAGCCCUCCGGACUCUUGGUUCUUUGAGGUAUGUGUCUUGGGGCUACUGGACCUAGGAAGAUUCUCACAUAUGCAGUUGAUGGCAAAAUAAAAGGUGGCCACUGCUGCUUGAUUGCUUCUGUUGCUUUACAAUAUGCAAAUUACUAAACUUCUUAUAGAGAUGUUACGAUACCUGCACUGGUGCAAGAAACAAGAUUUAAGCUUCAUAACUGAUUAAACUGAAUGACUGAUACUGAUUAAAUACAGUAAGCAUUCUAAACGUACAAAACCACCAGCACUUUUUCAUCGUUCCCACAAUCCCUUUUCCUUGGUAAAAACAAGAAAAAUGACAGAUGUCAGAUAUCCCACCGUGGAAAUAAAGCUCUCUUAAAACUCUA